GGCUGAACCAGCAACUUGGAGGAAUGUAUAGCAAUAGCUGAUUGCACCAACAAAUAGUUGAUGCAAUAUUGACUCUGUCAAAUAAAAUUCUAGGUAGAAUUAUGAUAAUGACAUUGUCUGCCUAUAUGUCUUGACCAAAUUACGUGCCAGCAGUCGCGGUAAUACGUAGAAGACUAGUGUUAUUCAUCUUUAAUAGGUUUAAAGGGUACCUAGACGGUAAAUCAAGCCUUCACAGGGACUAAUUUACUAGAGUUACUUACGAGGGGGUAUUAAAGUACUGCAGGUGUAGAGAUGAAAUUCUGUCAUACCUCUUUUCAAAAGAAAAAUUAUGGCACAGGUAUAGGUGAAAGCAUCCCCUUAUGUGAUAACUGACGUUGAAGGACGAAGGCUUUGUGUCGCGAACAGGAUUAGAUACCCCAGUAGUCAAAGCAGAAAAUGAUGAAUGUCAUAGAUUAGAUAAAUAGUUUAUUCUAUAAAUGAAAAUGUAAGCAUUCCACCUCAAGAGUAAUUUGGCAACAUUGGAACUGAAAUCAUUAGACCGUUUCUGAAACCAGUAGUGAAGUAUGUUGUUUAAUUUGAUGAUCCGCAAAAAACCUUACCACAAUUUGAAUAUUUAUAUCUAUCUUUUUUUUUUCGUAAAAAAAUAAAAAGGUAAUAUAUUUACAAGCGUUGCACGGCUGUCUUCAGUUAAUGUCGCGAGACUUUGGUUAGUUCCAUUAAAUUAACGUAAACCCUUACUUUAUUUUUAUAUGAAGUAGUUCCCCGCUAUAUUGGAUAUGAUAACAGG
rnacentral:rRNA from 1 species